rfam:Myotis davidii contig188815, whole genome shotgun sequence.
GUGCAAACUCAAUCACUAACUGCAUAAUGUUGCAGAAGUGAGGAGAACUAGGUUUGCUAAAGUAAUUGAGGUGUUAGAAAUGUAUUAGCCUCAGAAACUAAUGGGAUCCUUUCUAUCCUCAUGUAAUG